AUUGAACGCUGGCGGCAUGCUUUACACAUGCUAGUCGGACGGCAGCACAGAGAAGCUUGCUUCUUGGGUGGCGAGUGGCGAACGGGUGAGUAAUAUAUCGGAACGUACCGAGUAAUGGGGGAUAACUAAUCGAAAGAUUAGCUAAUACCGCAUAUUCUCUGAGGAGGAAAGCAGGGGACCUUCGGGCCUUGCGUUAUUCGAGCGGCCGAUAUCUGAUUAGCUAGUUGGUGGGGUAAAGGCCUACCAAGGCGACGAUCAGUAGCGGGUCUGAGAGGAUGAUCCGCCACACUGGGACUGAGACACGGCCCAGACUCCUACGGGAGGCAGCAGUGGGGAAUUUUGGACAAUGGGCGCAAGCCUGAUCCAGCCAUGCCGCGUGUCUGAAGAAGGCCUUCGGGUUGUAAAGGACUUUUGUCAGGGAAGAAAAGGCUGUUGCUAAUAUCAAUAGCUGAUGACGGUACCUGAAGAAUAAGCACCGGCUAACUACGUG
rnacentral:rRNA from 1 species